rnacentral:rRNA from 1 species
UCUAGCAUGUGCGCGAGUCAUUGGGACUUUUUUUCAGGAAAGCCCAGAGGCGCAAUGAAAGUGAAGAUCGGCCUUUUCGGCUUGAUCGAGGGAGGAUGGCUCAUUGUUAUUUUUUUAUAAUGACGGGCUCGCACUCCCGGGGCGUCUCGCGCUCAUUUCGAGCGGAGGCGCACCCAGAGCGUACACGCUGGGACCCGAAAGAUGGUGAACUAUGCCUGGUCAGGACGAAGUCAGGGGAAACCCUGAUGGAGGUCCGUAGCGAUUCUGACGUGCAAAUCGAUCGUCGGAACUGGGUAUAGGGGCGAAAGACUAAUCGAACCAUC